rnacentral:rRNA from 1 species
CAGUAGCCGCGGUAAUACGUAGGUGGCAAGCGUUGUCCGGAAUUAUUGGGCGUAAAGGGCUCGCGGGCGGUUUCUUAAGUCUGAUGUGAAAGCCCCCGGCUCAACCGGGGAGGGUCAUUGGAAACUGGGAAACUUGAGUGCAGAAGAGGAGAGUGGAAUUCCACGUGUAGCGGUGAAAUGCGUAGAGAUGUGGAGGAACACCAGUGGCGAAGGCGACUCUCUGGUCUGUAACUGACGCUGAGGAGCGAAAGCGUGGGGAGCGAACAGGAUUAGAUACCCCAGUAGUCCCUGUCUCUUAUAC